GUCGUUCUAGUAUAGUGGUAAGUAUUCCCGCCUAUCAUGUGGGUGACCCGGGUUCGAUCCCCGGCAACGGCG
rnacentral:tRNA from 1 species